rnacentral:misc_RNA from 1 species
GACCUAUCCUAUAAUCUAUCUUCCUUACUUCUGAGACAAAGUGGUAUUGAGAUUGUGAGGAACACAAGAUGGAAGGUCAUGCCAGAGUGAGAAACUGACAUUCCUAAACAUCAUAAAUAAGCACAUCGCUAUUCUAUUUAGCAUAUAUAAAUGUAUAGAUUUAUUGAAACUAAAAUUAUAUAUCUCGGAAGACAUACCAUUCAAGCUGAAGUUGAAC